CCUACGGGAGGCAGCAGUGAGGAAUAUUGGUCAAUGGACGCAAGUCUGAACCAGCCAAGCCGCGUGCAGGAAGACGGCUCUACGAGUUGUAAACUUCUUUUGUACGGGAGCAAAUCCCGAUACGUGUAUCGGGUUGAAAGUAUCGUAAGAAAAAGGAUCGGCUAACUCCGUGCCAGCAGCCACGGUAAUACGGAGGAUUCAAGCGUUCACCGGAUUUAUUGGGUUUAAAGGGUGCGUAAGCGGUUCGAUAAGUUAGAGGUUAAAACCCGGGGCUCAACCCCGGCACUGCCUUUGAUACUGACGGGCUAGAGUUGGGUAGAAGUAGGCGGAAUGUGUGGUGUAGCGGUGAAAUGCAUAGAGAUCAUACAGAACACCGAUUGCGAAGGCAGCAUACC
rnacentral:rRNA from 1 species